GUGACGACUGUGACAUCAACAGUGCUGGUGAUAUCAGUAGUGUUGGCUCUGUAGUGCAGGUGACGAGGGUGAUAUUAACAGUGCUGGUGAUGGUGACAGCAGUGCUGGUGAUAGUGACAUCAGCGGUGCUGGCUCUGUAGUGCAGGUUUUUCCACUGAUCAAUUAAGAGGUAGGGCCAGGAGACUCGGCCUCUGUAACCACAAAUAUGCGAGUGUAGGCGAGUUCAACGCAACACGCUGAGUGUGACACAGCAACGGCACCAUCUACAUAGACUGACAGGAACAAUUUCCUCAGCUCCGAACAGUCUUGACAGCAUCUAGAGUGGUGUCAGCCGAACAGAUCAUCAGCACCGGUCUUCCGGAUGAUGCCUCGUACUUGUGUGAACAGGACAGACAACUUCCGCUACAUUUGUGGUGAGGUGACCUUUGCAUCACAGAAGCGCCGUAUAACUGCUAUGGUCAGAAAGGCAUAUCACCUAUAUUUUGGAUGCAAGAUUGGUGACCAGGAUAAGAACUGGGCUCCACACAUGUGCUGCAACAAUUGUGCUACUAACUUUCGCCAAUAGUUGAACAGGAAGAGGAAAGGAAUGCCUUUUGCUGUGCCAAUGACAUGGCGGGAGCCAACACACCAUACCAACAAUUGUUAUUUCUGCAUGGUACCUCCAGAACGAAAGGGCUUAUCAAAGAUAAAAAAAAGGGGCCCAUUGAAUAUCGAAACAUUCUAUCAGCUAUUCGCCCAGCUCCACAUGGAGAAGGUCUACCUGUUCCUAAUGCACCAACUUCGGUAUCCUUCGAGUUAGAUGAAGAAAGUGGUGAGGAGGACGAUGAGAAGGAUGACAGUCCUGGAUUACAGAGCGACCGAUUACGGAUUGGAGUUUAAAAAAUACUGACACAUAUUGUACGUUAUAAUAAAAUAAUAA